CACAAGACUUUCUGGCUUUCCAUUUUUUGUUGUGAUUUGUCACUAUGCGAUUUCUGUCUGAAUCAAAUCACUAAUUUUCCAUGUGUCCCAAUUUCAAAGAUGAGACAUUCAAGUGUACAUGUUCACACCAGACAUGAGGUAUGUAGAGACCUUCAAUUGUACAUGUUCACACCAGACAUGAGGUAUGUAGAGAUCUUCAAUUGUACAUAUUUUCACCAGACAUGGGGUAUGUAGAGACCUUCAAUUGUACAUGUUCACACCAGACAUGGAGUAUAUAGAGACCUUCAAUUGUACAUGUUCACACCAGACAUGGAGUAUGUAGAGACCUUCAAUUGUACAUGUUCACACCAGACAUGGAGUAUGUAGAGACCUUCAAUUGUACAUGUUCACACCAGACAUGGAGUAUGUAGAGACCUUCAAUUGUACAUGUUCA